rnacentral:rRNA from 1 species
AGUGAACGCUGGCGGUAGGCCUAACACAUGCAAGUCGAACGGCAGCACAGUAAGAGCUUGCUCUUACGGGUGGCGAGUGGCGGACGGGUGAGGAAUACAUCGGAAUCUACUUUUUCGUGGGGGAUAACGUAGGGAAACUUACGCUAAUACCGCAUACGACCUCCGGGUGAAGGCAGGGGACCUUCGGACCUUGCGCGAUUGAAUGAGCCGAUGUCGGAUUAGCUAGUUGGCGGGGUAAAGGCCCACCAAGGCGACGAUCCGUAGCUGGUCUGAGAGGAUGAUCAGCCACACUGGAACUGAGACACGGUCCAGACUCCUACGGGAGGCAGCAGUGGGGAAUAUUGGACAAUGGGCGCAAGCCUGAUCCAGCCAUACCGCGUGGGUGAAGAAGGCCUUCGGGUUGUAAAGCCCUUUUGUUGGGAAAGAAAAGCAGCAGGUUAAUACCCCGCUGUUCUGACGGUACCCAAAGAAUAAGCACCGGCUAACUUCGUG